rnacentral:rRNA from 1 species
AUUGAACGCUGGCGGCAUGCCUUACACAUGCAAGUCGAACGGUAACAGGUCUUCGGAUGCUGACGAGUGGCGAACGGGUGAGUAAUACAUCGGAACGUGCCCGAUCGUGGGGGAUAACGAAGCGAAAGCUUUGCUAAUACCGCAUACGAUCUACGGAUGAAAGCAGGGGACCGCAAGGCCUUGCGCGAACGGAGCGGCCGGUGGCGGAUUAGGUAGUUGGUGGGAUAAAAGCUUACCAAGCCGACGAUCUGUAGCUGGUCUGAGAGGACGACCAGCCACACUGGGACUGAGACACGGCCCAGACUCCUACGGGAGGCAGCAGUGGGGAAUUUUGGACAAUGGGCGAAAGCCUGAUCCAGCCAUGCCGCGUGCAGGAUGAAGGCCUUCGGGUUGUAAACUGCUUUUGUACGGAACGAAAAGACUCUGGUUAAUACCUGGGGUCCAUGACGGUACCGUAAGAAUAAGCACCGGCUAACUACGUG